UAGGGAAUAUUGGGCAAUGGGCGCAAGCCUGACCCAGCCAUGCCGCGUGCAGGAAGAAGGCGUUAUGCGUUGUAAACUGCUUUUAUACGGGAAGAAAACGGCCAUGCGUGGCAAACUGACGGUACCGUAUGAAUAAGCACCGGCUAACUCCGUGCCAGCAGCCGCGGUAAUACGGAGGGUGCAAGCGUUGUCCGGAUUUAUUGGGUUUAAAGGGUGCGUAGGCGGCUUUUUAAGUCAGCGGUGAAAGCCGGUCGCUCAACGACCGAACUGCCGUUGAUACUGAUUAGCUUGAGUUUGAUUGAGGCAGCCGGAAUGGAUAGUGUAGCGGUGAAAUGCAUAGAUAUUAUCCAGAACGCCAAUAGCGUAGGCAGGUUGCUAAGUCAUAACUGACGCUGAGGCA
rnacentral:rRNA from 1 species